rnacentral:rRNA from 1 species
UACGUAGGGUGCAAGCGUUAAUCGGAAUUACUGGGCGUAAAGCGUGCGCAGGCGGUUGUGCAAGACCGAUGUGAAAUCCCCGGGCUUAACCUGGGAAUGGCAUUGGUGACUGCACGGCUAGAGUGUGUCAGAGGGGGGUAGAAUUCCACGUGUAGCAGUGAAAUGCGUAGAGAUGUGGAGGAAUACCGAUGGCGAAGGCAGUCCCCUGGGAUAACACUGACGCUCAUGGCACGAAAGCGUGGGGAGCAAACAGGAUUA